rnacentral:rRNA from 1 species
GCAGCCGCGGUAAUACGGGGGGGGCGAGCGUUGCUGGGAAUGACUGGGCGUAAAGGGCUCGUAGGCGGCCGUCCAAGUCGGACGUGAAAUCCCCCGGCUCAACCUGGGAACUGCGUCCGAUACUGGCUGGCUGGAAUCCGGGAGAGGGAUGCGGAAUUCCAGGUGUAGCGGUGAAAUGCGUAGAUAUCUGGAGGAACACCGGUGGCGAAGGCGGCAUCCUGGACCGGCAUUGACGCUGAGGAGCGAAAGCCAGGGGAGCAAA